UGUGGUGUUCGGGAGGGUCCGUUAUCCCGAGGUCACGCGGCGCGUCCAAGUCCUUCUUGAACGGGGCCACAGCCCAUAGAGGGUGCCAGGCCCGUAGCGACCGCCGCUGAUCGCGGGAGGAUCUCUCCUUAGAGUCGGGUUGCUUGAGAGUGCAGCCCUAAGUGGGUGGUAAACUCCAUCUAAGGCUAAAUAUGACCACGAGACCGAUAGCGAACAAGUACCGUGAGGGAAAGUUGAAAAGCACUUUGAAGAGAGAGUUCAAGAGUACGUGAAACCGUUUAGGGGUAAACCUGAGAAACCCGAAAGGUCGAAGGAAGAAAUUCAUUCGCGUUUCGACGCAGGCGUCGGGCGUUCGCGCGACGGGAAUCGCGUUCGCGCGUUUCCCGCGCCUUUCGUCCUUCGAACCGGCGGCGAACGCGUGCACUUUUCUUCUGGUAGGACGUCGCGAUCCGUUGGGUGUCGGUCUACGGCUCGCGGUGGAGCCCGUUCGUGCCACGUGCGCGAGCGGACCCGCGUGUCCCGGCUGACUCGCUCGACGGUACACGAAAGAUUAAAGGCCGCUCCUCGGAGCGUUCGACUCGCGGCAAGCGCGCCAGUUGCGUCGGCGAUCGGACCCAGUGCCGAUUCUGACCUCUGGUGACUGUUGGCCGCGAUCGUCUCGGACAGACCUUUGGAUCGAUCGGCGACGCUAUAGCUUUGGGUACUUUCAGGACCCGUCUUGAAACACGGACCAAGGAGUCUAGCAUGUGCGCGAGUCAUUGGGAAUCACUAAACCUAAAGGCGCAAUGAAAGUAAAGGUCUUCCUCGCGGAGACUGAGGGAGGACGGGCGGUUUACCCUUAAAAGUGGCCGCUCAGCACUCCCGGGGCGUCUCGUUCUCAUUGCGAGAAGAGGCGCACCAUGAGCGUACACGCUGGGACCCGAAAGAUGGUG
rnacentral:rRNA from 1 species